rnacentral:rRNA from 2 species
AGAGUUUGAUCAUGGCUCAGAUUGAACGCUGGCGGCAUGCCUUACACAUGCAAGUCGAACGGCAGCAUGAUCUAGCUUGCUAGAUUGAUGGCGAGUGGCGAACGGGUGAGUAAUACAUCGGAACGUGCCCUGUAGUGGGGGAUAACUAGUCGAAAGAUUAGCUAAUACCGCAUACGACCUGAGGGUGAAAGUGGGGGACCGCAAGGCCUCAUGCUAUAGGAGCGGCCGAUGUCUGAUUAGCUAGUUGGUGGGGUAAAGGCCCACCAAGGCGACGAUCAGUAGCUGGUCUGAGAGGACGAUCAGCCACACUGGGACUGAGACACGGCCCAGACUCCUACGGGAGGCAGCAGUGGGGAAUUUUGGACAAUGGGGGCAACCCUGAUCCAGCAAUGCCGCGUGUGUGAAGAAGGCCUUCGGGUUGUAAAGCACUUUUGUCCGGAAAGAAAUCGCACUUACUAAUAUUAGGUGUGGAUGACGGUACCGGAAGAAUAAGGACCGGCUAACUACGUGCCAGCAGCCGCGGUAAUACGUAGGGUCCAAGCGUUAAUCGGAAUUACUGGGCGUAAAGCGUGCGCAGGCGGUUGUGCAAGACCGAUGUGAAAUCCCCGGGCUUAACCUGGGAAUUGCAUUGGUGACUGCACGGCUAGAGUGUGUCAGAGGGGGGUAGAAUUCCACGUGUAGCAGUGAAAUGCGUAGAGAUGUGGAGGAAUACCGAUGGCGAAGGCAGCCCCCUGGGAUAACACUGACGCUCAUGCACGAAAGCGUGGGGAGCAAACAGGAUUAGAUACCCUGGUAGUCCACGCCCUAAACGAUGUCAACUAGUUGUUGGGGAUUCAUUUCCUUAGUAACGUAGCUAACGCGUGAAGUUGACCGCCUGGGGAGUACGGUCGCAAGAUUAAAACUCAAAGGAAUUGACGGGGACCCGCACAAGCGGUGGAUGAUGUGGAUUAAUUCGAUGCAACGCGAAAAACCUUACCUACCCUUGACAUGCCACUAACGAAGCAGAGAUGCAUUAGGUGCUCGAAAGAGAAAGUGGACACAGGUGCUGCAUGGCUGUCGUCAGCUCGUGUCGUGAGAUGUUGGGUUAAGUCCCGCAACGAGCGCAACCCUUGUCUCUAGUUGCUACGAAAGGGCACUCUAGAGAGACUGCCGGUGACAAACCGGAGGAAGGUGGGGAUGACGUCAAGUCCUCAUGGCCCUUAUGGGUAGGGCUUCACACGUCAUACAAUGGUGCAUACAGAGGGUUGCCAAGCCGCGAGGUGGAGCUAAUCCCAGAAAAUGCAUCGUAGUCCGGAUCGUAGUCUGCAACUCGACUACGUGAAGCUGGAAUCGCUAGUAAUCGCGGAUCAGCAUGCCGCGGUGAA